GCGACCCCAGGAUGGGCGAGGUCACCCG
rnacentral:rRNA from 1 species